UGCAGGUUAGCUCAGCCAGCACAGCAUGAGACAGUUAAUCUCAGGGUUGUGGGUUUGAGCCCUACGUCGGGCAA